rnacentral:rRNA from 1 species
AGUGAACGCUGGCGGUAGGCCUAACACAUGCAAGUCGAACGGCAGCACAGUAAGAGCUUGCUCUUACGGGUGGCGAGUGGCGGACGGGUGAGGAAUACAUCGGAAUCUACUUUUUCGUGGGGGGUAACGUAGGGAAACUUACGCUAAUACCGCAUACGACCUACGGGUGAAAGCAGGGGAUCUUCGGACCUUGCGCGAUUGAAUGAGCCGAUGUCGGAUUAGCUAGUUGGCGGGGUAAAGGCCCACCAAGGCGACGAUCCGUAGCUGGUCUGAGAGGAUGAUCAGCCACACUGGAACUGAGACACGGUCCAGACUCCUACGGGAGGCAGCAGUGGGGAAUAUUGGACAAUGGGCGCAAGCCUGAUCCAGCCAUACCGCGUGGGUGAAGAAGGCCUUCGGGUUGUAAAGCCCCUUUGUUGGGAAAGAAAAGCAGCAGGUUAAUACCCCGCUGUUCUGACGGUACCCAAAGAAUAAGCACCGGCUAACUUCGUG